CUUGAGCCGAAGUCAGCCGCCUAACCGACUGUGCCACCCAAGUGCCCCAGAUUGUUAUGUUUUCUUGAUGAACUGACCUCUUACUGGAAUGAAAUGUCCUGCUUGACUUCUUGUCUCCCUGGCUAUCUGAAAGUAGAACAUUCCUAUGAAAACUUUCAAAUAAUGAAGUUGGACAAAGUGGAUUCACUGUGGAAGUGUCUGAUAACGUGCCUCAGUUUCCUCACUGUAACUGGGAAAUGUCUGCAGAGAUGAAGAUUCAAACAAGAGCACAGUUUUAUUUGGCCACUUCUAUUUUAUUUUAUUAAAAGAAUUUUUUUGAGUAGGUUCCAUGCCCCAUGUGGGGCUUGAACUCAUGACCCUGAGAUCAAAGGUCGCAUGCUCUGACUGAGCCAGCCAGGUGCCCCAAUUUGGUCACUUCUUAUCUCCCCUUGCACAGAGCUGAAUACCAUCCACUCAUGAUUCUAGGCAGACAGCUCGGGGUAAGGACAACCAAUUAUUUACUUACAAUUGUGUCAUUAGCACUUCCAAAACACUGGUGACCAUCCUCAAGCCUUUCAUAGCUCAGCCUAGACUUGUGGCUUUUUAAGAAUCAGUUUGCUUUCUUUCUUUUUCUACCCCAUUGUUUGUUGAUAGAUAAGCUUGAAAACACCCCCUUCCUCGGAGCUUGAUUGGCAAGUGUCAAAUCCGCAAGCUUUGGCAGCUAUGUGCUAUGUGGCUGUGUGGCAGCUACGUUAAGGAGGAGUGAAGGAGGACAUAAGGAGGAGUGAAGGAGGACACGGGUUGGUCUGUGGCCAGAGGGAAAAGAGAAACCCAUAUAACCAGGAUGAACAGACGAGUAGAAGGUGUGCGUAGUAGUUCCCUGGGGCUGCCCUAACAAAUCACCGCAAACCUGGUAGCUUAAAACAACAGAAAUUUAUUUUCUCACAGUUGUGGAGGUUAGAAGCCUGAAAUCAAGACGUUAGGGCCAUGCUUCCUCUGAAGGCUCUAGGGGCGGGUCCUUCCUUGCAUUGUUUUCUGGCUUCAGGUGGCUCUUGGCACUCUUUGGGUUUUCUUGCCUCGUGGACUUAGCACUUCAAUACUUCUACCUCUGUCGUCACAUGGCAUUCUCCCCUGUGUGUUUUCACACCACUUCUCUCUAUGUGCCUUCUGCAUAUCUUCUUAUACAGGUACCAGUCACUGCAUUGAAACUCCACCCUAACCCAGUAUGACCUCAUCUUAAUUUAACCAAUCACAUCUGCAAAGACCCUAUUUACAGAUAAAGUCACUGAGCUUCCACGCAGACACAAAGUUUGGGGGACAUUAUUCAACACAGUGUAGAGGGGGUGGUCUGAUGGCAUCUGGAAUGUGGAUUUGAAUGUGUUCUUUAGACCAAAUCACACUCUGGGGAGCCUGGGGUGCUCAGUCAGUUAAGCGUCCGAUCUCAGCUCAGGU